rnacentral:rRNA from 1 species
UCAGCCGCCGCGGUAAAACCAGCACCUCGAGUGGUCAGGAGGUUUAUUGGGCCUAAAGCAUCCGUAGCCGGUUGCAUAAGUUUUCGGUUAAAUCUAUGCGCUUAACGUAUAGGCCGCCGAAAAUACUGUGCAGCUAGGGAGUGGGAGAGGUACACGGUACUCGAUAGGAAGGGGUAAAAUCCUUUGAUCUAUUGAUGACCACCUGUGGCGAAGGCGGUGUACCAGAACACGUUCGACGGUGAGGGAUGAAAGCUGGGGGAGCAAACCGGAUUAGAUACCCGGGUAGUCCCAGCUGUAAACGAUGCAAACUCGGUGAUGCAUUGGCUUGUGGCCAAUGCAGUGCCGCAGGGAAGCCGUUAAGUUUGCCGCCUGGGAAGUACGUACGCAAGUAUGAAACUUAAAGGAAUUGGCGGGGGAGCACA